CAAUGCCAGCGAAUGCCUUUACCAUGGAGGCAGAGAGCAGGCAGAGGGGAGUGGGCCCUGGCAGCUGCUCCUGUGCAGCUCCUGCGCUGCUGAGGGCACCCACCGACAGUGCUCCCACUUGAGUAACACCACAGCCACGUGGGAGUGCGACAGCUGUGCUGGCCUGGGUACCGCCUCCAGCGCCAACACCGAGCUCGCUGGUCCCAGCACUGCCGGCCAGACGGCUCCGGGGCCAUCCAGCAGCUCCAUGGAGCCUGAGACCGUGAGCUCCACGCCCGCCAGCCAGGCAGC